UUCAAGAAAAAAAAAAUCAAAUUCAAUGGUCUACUUAAUACAGUCCUCUCAUGUUCCCUUAAAUAAUAAUGAAAGAAAUGCAGAAGAAUCAUGGAACAUAUACAGAAAAGAAGCCAAUAAUAUACUAAGUACACUGUGACUGAGGAACUGAAAAUAGGCCAGCACACUGUUCUCAAAGCUGGUUUGCAGAACAUGUACAGUAAGAGAGCUUCCACUGGGGGUUUUCAGCAUCCAGUGCCUGUUUCUAUCUUUGGUGUCUCCAAUGAAUACAAGAGCACAGCUGCAACAUUCUCAGUACAGAAAGAAUUAAGCACAGCUUGGACAAGAGAUUAAAAAUCCUAAGAAAGGUGCUUCUUCCGUGGUCCCACGGACUCCUUCUUACACAGAGUGCCUUUUGUGUGAAGGCAGAGUUGGGACAAGAUAGAGUCAACACUUCCAAGAUUCACAGAACUGCCACUCAAAGAGACCUUGACAAGCUGGAGUAGCAGCUGCAGAAAUCUUAUGAAGCUGAAUGAAAACAAAUGCAAAGUUCAUGGGGAGUGACUGCCUGGGAGCAGCUCUGCAGGGAGCCCUGAGGGACUGUGACUGAGCACAAGACAGCAGGGUGGCAUUGCAGAAAUGAGUUGUAAGUGUGCACUGGGACACACUAAUACGCCAUAAGAAGUCAGUAGACAAAGAGAAUAUAUAACCACCCUCUAUUCAGCUUUCAUGAGGCUUCAUCUGAAAUACUGUGCCCAAUUUUGGCAUGCUUCCCAAGUGUUGGAUGGUAAACUGGACAAGGCCCAGCAGCAGUCCAAUGAGAUGGGAAGUUGUGUGAAGCACAGGGAAUAGCCAUAAAGAAAAGGGAAUGUAACUUCUUCCUGUGAUAAAUUGAUGGCUACAGAGAAGAUUUCCAGGCUCUCCUCUGAGAUCCACAGUGAAAGGGUAAGAAUAACAUUAAUAAUUUGUAAAAUUAAAAUUCUGGCUAGGUAUAUUAAAAAAAAUUAUAAUGAGAGUGGUUAAAUGCCAGAAGAGGUUGCCCAGCAAGCUUGUGGAAUCUACAGCUUUGGAAAUACUAAAAAUUUGACUGGAAAAAGCACUGAGUAAGCACUGAUCAGCAAAGAGCACUGAGCAGAACUGAUCACUGAUUUGAUCUUAAGGAUGCAUCUGUUUUUAACAGUGUUGCACUAAAUUACCUCCAAAGGUCACUUCCAAAAAAAAUAUUAUAUUAUUCUGUAUUAAAUUUAUAUCUAUGCACUCUUGAGAGUUGAAGAUAUUUUACAUCCUACUCUAGUCCAGGAAUGAAACUUAUGGCCACAAAUAAUUAGUACUCUAAUUAGGUUGAGAGAACUUUCUGCAUCUGUGUCUCUCUGAGUCUCACUGACUAACAGAUAAUUUUAUGUGUAUGAGAGAAACCUCUUAUGCAUGAAAGCUUCCAACAAUGCAAAUGUUUAUGAUCCUGAUACAGAGCAACCAUAUGUAAGCAGAUGAUUCAUGAGAUUCAGGCUUCUGUUCUGUGUUUCAAUCAUGUCUGAUUUAUGAAAUGUAAACAGUGGAUCCAAACCCAUCCUAGUUGUCAGUGGUCCUUGUGAGGCAGUAAAUGUCAUGAAUUUCAAACUGUUUAAAAAUCUUUCAAAACUGCUCAGCAUGCAACUGCUUUUAUAGUUACAUGAGCUUUUAAAAUGCACAUUUCCUGAAAGGCAAGCAAGCGGGAAUAAUUACUAUUCAUUUUUUUCCUCUCAGCUUAGAGAGUUAAAUUGUACUCAACAGUUAUUUCUCCCUAGUGCAUGAUACAGCAGAAAUCCUUCCAGGGCAAAUGCACUGCAAUCACAGAGUUGGCUUCAACAGCAGAAGCACUAAAAGAAGUAAUUCAGAUUAAUGAAUGGAUGAUGUAGAUACACUCUGUCAGCACUGUUUGCUACAGGGAUCUCCUAAAGCUCUGGAAAUGAAGACUUCCUCUGGAAAGUUUGUUUGCUUAGCCUGUGGUAGCUACUGAGAAUCUGUUCUUUUAAGGACCCUAUUUCUCCCCACUCCAUUGACUUCAGAAAGAUUAUGGGGUUUUUUUGUGCAUGAAAAGGGUGGACAUUGCAAAGCACAAAACCCAAGCAUCAAAAGACUUCAUCACUGUCAGCAAGAAGCUCGUGAUGUUUUCCCAAGGAACAACCCACACAUUCAUCUGUCUUUAAUAAAAGCAGAUCUGCCUGCCUGUAUCGGCUGAUGUGCUAUGCUUGCUUUGGAAUAAGAAUCAUGCGUUGUUUUUUUUUUCAGUGGGAGGGUUUUCAAGAUUUAUGGGUGUGCUGAGAAAACAUGGGAGGAAUCUGCCUGGAGGGCUGAUGGAUCUCCAUGGAGUGAAAGAUGUACUGAAUGAAGUGCGUUUAUACAUACUGUCCUUGGCUUGCAGUGCAGCUUUCCAAGGGUGAGCCUCGCCCAGCCUCUUGAGAAACAACUUAUUUAGUACUUUCCUCUCCAUAUGAUUUGUUAGUUUAUGAGAACAGAAUUGUUGAGACUUGUUGCAGAAAUGUGAGUAAUCAUAUUAAUGGAUGUGGCUGUGAAAUGGGAGGUUGUGGGAAACAAGAUCUUAAAGUUGUGAAACACAUAUAUCCAUAUACCUUAACAAGCUAAAAUGUUCCAGAAGUUAAGUAAGAUGUUAUACAAAGGUACUACAACAUUUUAUAACAAAUUCUUGAGAAAUUAAAAAAUAAAAUUGUGCUUUGGAAGUUUUCAGACUAAUUAGGUACCUUGAAGAAAUUCUUUAUAGAAAAUGUCACC